GAGAUGGUAACUCAUAUACUGAAUUAGAAUGAUACAGAGAUGAUUAGCAUGGCCCUUGUGUAAAGGAUGACAUGCUAAUAUAAUGUCAAAGAGAAUAAUUCA